CCUACGGGUGGCAGCAGUGGGGAAUAUUGCGCAAUGGGCGAAAGCCUGACGCAGCGAUGCCGCGUGAGGGAUGAAGGUCUUCGGAUCGUAAACCUCUGUCAGCAGGGAAGAACGGUCACUGUGCUAAUCAGCAGUCAAUUGACGGUACCUGCAAAGGAAGCACCGGCUAACUCCGUGCCAGCAGCCGCGGUAAUACGGAGGGUGCGAGCGUUAAUCGGAAUUACUGGGCGUAAAGCGCUCGUAGGCGGUAUGUCAAGUCAAGGGUGAAAUCCCCGCGCUCAACGUGGGAACUGCCUUUGAUACUGGCAGACUUGAGUGUGGGAGAGGGGAGUAGAAUUCCAGGUGUAGGGGUGAAAUCCGUAGAGAUCUGGAGGAACAUCAGUGGCGAAGGCGACUAUCUGGCACAUAACUGACGCUGAGGUGCGAAAGCGUGGGUAUCAAACAGGAUUAGAUACCCCAGUAGUC
rnacentral:rRNA from 1 species